UGGGGAAUUUUGGACAAUGGGCGAAAGCCUGAUCCAGCAAUGCCGCGUGUGUGAAGAAGGCCUUCGGGUUGUAAAGCACUUUUGUCCGGAAAGAAAUCCUUGGCUCUAAUACAGUCGGGGGAUGACGGUACCGGAAGAAUAAGCACCGGCUAACUACGUGCCAGCAGCCGCGGUAAUACGUAGGGUGCAAGCGUUAAUCGGAAUUACUGGGCGUAAAGCGUGCGCAGGCGGUUUGCUAAGACCGAUGUGAAAUCCCCGGGCUCAACCCGGGAACUGCAUUGGUGACUGGCAGGCUAGAGUAUGGCAGAGGGGGGUAGAAUUCCACGUGUAGCAGUGAAAUGCGUAGAGAUGUGGAGGAAUACCGAUGGCGAAGGCAGCCCCCUGGGCCAAUACUGACGCUCAUGCACGAAAGCGUGGGGAGCAAACAGGAUUAGAUACCCUGGUAGUCCACGCCCUAAACGAUGUCAACUAGUUGUUAGGGAUUCAUUUCCUUAGUAACGUAGCUAACGCGUGAAGUUGACCGCCUGGGGAGUACGGUCGCAAGAUUAAAACUUAAAGGAAUUGACGGGGUCAUAGCUGUUUCCU
rnacentral:rRNA from 1 species